ACCACCCGGUUCACUACGGCUGGCCGGCGGUCGGGCUCCCGGCGCCGGGAUGCUGGUCGGGCAAACAGAAGACCACCCCUAUCUAUAUAUAUUUUACAAAAUAACCAACACAUUACUUUAGCACUUAAUGAAAACACAUCUGCUCUCUUAAUAAUUAACAUACAACUGGCAGAUUUAGUGCAUUACCGAGCCAGACCCAAAUUGUGGCGUUACAUGUGCCUCUGGCCCAGGCAGGAUGUUCGUGUGCCCGGGAUGGGACCUGUCUGAUCACUUCCAGCCAGAUGAUGUCAGGUUGUUUGUCCCAGCUCGCCCUCGGGUGAUGCUGCCUAGUACUGUGCGUCCCUGUGUAACUAUCCCUGGCUGUGUGUGACAUGGAGCAAUGCUGGCAUUUGUAGGACAUGGCAACGUGACUUACUGGGCUCCCGGUCCUCCCCGGCACCCUCCAUGCUGCGGCUUGUUGUUACCCGGUCUCCCGGGCGACGUUGCUCGCUGUAUGGAGGAAGCCGGCCCUAGACAUUAACCUUUUGUGCCCCGGAGGGUUGUAUAAUUUGGCUACUUGCUGACAUUUGGAUACACGGAUUAUACAGGCACUCUCAUCAGGACCAUGAUAAAUUGGCUUUGCAUGAAGAAAUAUCCCAGAAUCGAAUGCCACCCGUAAAGGCUAUUGCUUCCGGCGGUCAGCAAUAGCAACCACCAGAGGUGGUAUUUUAUCUGCAACAAGCAAACAUUAAGGAACUGCGUUGAUCUUCUGCCACAAUGCCAAAUGUUUAAUGCAUUAUUAUGUGUACUGCAUAAAUCCACAAGAACUAGCAGAAUAUCCCUUUCUUUAAACAUGAAAAGUCUGUGGAUACCUUGCUGCCUGCAUCUGUUUGGAGCGAUUCAGUAACUGUAUAUAGGAGGACCAUUUUACUCACAUUCUGUUUUUGCAUAUUAGAGACACAGCAGAAACCGGUGAAGUAACAUUAGGCAAAGUGGUACUGUAGGUGUAGGACACCACUGUGCGGUAAGCAGUACAGAAAUAACUUUAGGAUAAUGCAGGAUUCAUUAUUACUAUUUUUCCUAUACCAACCAUUAAUGUAAUAAAGCCUAUGAGAAAA